AAGUCGUAACAAGGUUUCCGUAGGUGAACCUGCGGAAGGAUCAGUAGAGAACCGCCGGCGCAAGCCGGUUCUACCCACACACACCUGUGAACCGUAUUUAGGACGCGGACUAGCCUCUGGGCGAAACCGUCCGACCCUUACAAAACAUCUUAUAAUGUCAUGAACGUAGUCUUAUUUUAACAAAUAAAACUUUCAACAACGGAUCUCUUGGCUCCCA
rnacentral:misc_RNA from 1 species